rnacentral:rRNA from 1 species
ACGGAGGGGACUAGCGUUGUUCGGAAUUACUGGGCGUAAAGCGCACGUAGGCGGAUUUGUAAGUUAGGUGUGAAAUCCCUCGGCUCAACCGAGGAACUGCGCUUAAAACUGUGGGACUCGAGGGAGAUAGAGGAAAGCGGAACUGAUGGUGGAGCGGUGAAAUGCGUUGAUAUCAUCAGGAACACCGGUGGCGAAGGCGGCUUUCUGGGUCUUACCUGACGCUGAGGAACGAAAGCCAGGGGAGCAAACGGGA